AUGAACGCUAGCGGCAGGCUUAAUACAUGCAAGUCGAACGGUAACAUGAGUAGCAAUACUUGAUGACGAGUGGCGCACGGGUGCGUAACACGUAUGCAACCUUCCUUCAACUGGGGAAUAGCUCGGAGAAAUCCGGAUUAAUACCCCAUAAUAUUCGAGAGUGGCAUCACUUUCCAAUUAAAGUUCAGACGGUUGAAGAUGGGCAUGCGCAACAUUAGCUUGUUGGCGGGGUAACGGCCCACCAAGGCUACGAUGUUUAGGGGAUCUGAGAGGAUUAACCCCCACACUGGUACUGAGACACGGACCAGACUCCUACGGGAGGCAGCAGUAAGGAAUAUUGGACAAUGGGCGCAAGCCUGAUCCAGCCAUGCCGCGUGCAGGAUGAAGGCCCUAUGGGUUGUAAACUGCUUUUAUACGGGAAAAAACCCCUCUACGUGUAGAGGGCUGAUGGUACCGUAAGAAUAAGGAUCGGCUAACUCCGU
rnacentral:rRNA from 1 species